CGGAGCAACGCCGCGUGAGUGAUGAAGGUUUUCGGAUCGUAAAGCUCUGUUGUUAGGGAAGAACAAGUGCAAGAGUAACUGCUUGCACCUUGACGGUACCUAACCAGAAAGCCACGGCUAACUACGUGCCAGCAGCCGCGGUAAUACGUAGGUGGCAAGCGUUGUCCGGAAUUAUUGGGCGUAAAGGGCUCGCAGGCGGUUUCUUAAGUCUGAUGUGAAAGCCCCCGGCUCAACCGGGGAGGGUCAUUGGAAACUGGGAAACUUGAGUGCAGAAGAGGAGAGUGGAAUUCCACGUGUAGCGGUGAAAUGCGUAGAGAUGUGGAGGAACACCAGUGGCGAAGGCGACUCUCUGGUCUGUAACUGACGCUGAGGAGCGAAAGCGUGGGGAGCGAACAGGAUUAGAUACCCUGGUAGUCCACGCCGUAAACGAUGAGUGCUAAGUGUUAGGGGGUUUCCGCCCCUUAGUGCUGCAGCUAACGCAUUAAGCACUCCGCCUGGGGAGUACGGUCGCAAGACUGAAACUCAAAGGAAUUGACGGGGGCCCGCACAAGCGGUGGAGCAUGUGGUUUAAUUCGAAGCAACGCGAAGAACCUUACCAGGUCUUGACAUCCUCUGACAACCCUAGAGAUAGGGCUUUCCCUUCGGGGACAGAGUGACAGGUGGUGCAUGGUUGUCGUCAGCUCGUGUCGUGAGA
rnacentral:rRNA from 1 species